rnacentral:rRNA from 1 species
UACGUAGGGUGCAAGCGUUAAUCGGAAUUACUGGGCGUAAAGCGUGCACAGGCGGUUUUGUAAGUCUGGCGUGAAAGCCCCGGGCUCAACCUGGGAAUUGCGAUGGAGACUGCAAGGCUUGAAUCUGGCAGAGGGGGGUAGAAUUCCACGUGUAGCAGUGAAAUGCGUAGAGAUGUGGAGGAACACCGAUGGCGAAGGCAGCCCCCUGGGUCAAGAUUGACGCUCAUGCACGAAAGCGUGGGGAGCAAACAGG